rnacentral:rRNA from 1 species
CACGAAGUUAGCCGGUGCUUAUUCUUACGGUACCGUCAUCCCCGCCGGGUAUUAACCGACAGGAUUUCUUCCCGUACAAAAGGGCUUUACAACCCGAAGGCCUUCUUCACCCACGCGGCAUUGCUGGAUCAGGCUUGCGCCCAUUGUCCAAUAUUCCCCACUGCUGCCUCCCGUAGGAGUCUGGACCGUGUCUCAGUUCCAGUGUGGCUGAUCAUCCUCUCAGACCAGCUACCGAUCGUCGCCUUGGUGGGCCAUUACCCCGCCAACUAGCUAAUCGGACAUAGGCUCAUCCAGUCGCGCGACGCCUUGCGGUCCGCCGCUUUCACCUCUCGGUCGUAUGCGGUAUUAGCGUAAGUUUCCCUACGUUAUCCCCCAGACAGGGUAGAUUCCUAUGUAUUCCUCACCCGUCCGCCACUCGCCGCCAGGUAUUGCUACCCGCGCUGCCGUUCGACUUGCAUGUGUUAGGCAUGCCGCCAGCGUUCAAUCUGAGCCAGGAUCAAACUCU